AACGAACGCUGGCGGCAGGCUUAACAUAUGCAAGUCGAAUGCCCCGCAAGGGGCGUGGCAGACGGGUGAGUAACGCGUGGGACCGUGCCCUUCCCUUCGCAAUAGCUCCGGGAAACUGGGAGUAAUACCGGAUCCGCCGUAUUGGGAAAGAUCUAUCAGCGAAGGAUUGGACCGCGUUGGAAUAGCUAGUUGGAGGUGUAAUGGACCCCCAAGGCUACGAUCCAUAGCUGGUCUGAGAGGAUGAUCAGCCACACUGGGACUGAGACACGACCCAGACUCCAACGAGAGGCAGCAGAAGGGAAUCGUGGAAAAUGGGCGCAAGCCUGUGCCAGCCAUGCCGCGUAAGUGAAGAAGGCCUUAGGGUUGUAAAACUCUUUCGCCGGAGAAGAUAAUGACGGUAUCCGGAGAAUAAGCCCCGGCUAACUUCGUGCCAGCCGCCGCGGUAAAAC
rnacentral:rRNA from 1 species